GACGAACGCUGGCGGCGUGCUUAACACAUGCAAGUCGAACGGAAAGGCCCUGCUUUUGUGGGGUGCUCGAGUGGCGAACGGGUGAGUAACACGUGAGUAACCUGCCCUUGACUUUGGGAUAACUUCAGGAAACUGGGGCUAAUACCGGAUAGGAGCUCCUGCUGCAUGGUGGGGGUUGGAAAGUUUCGGCGGUUGGGGAUGGACUCGCGGCUUAUCAGCUUGUUGGUGGGGUAGUGGCUUACCAAGGCUUUGACGGGUAGCCGGCCUGAGAGGGUGACCGGGCACCAUGGGACUGAGAUACGGCCCAGACUCCUAAGGGAGGCAGCAGGGGGGAAUAUUGCAAAAUGGGCGGAAGGCUGAUGCAGCAACGCCGGGUGCGGGAUGACGGCCUUCGGGUUGUAAACCGCUUUCGCCUGUGACGAAGCGUGAGUGACGGUAAUGGGUAAAGAAGCACCGGCUAACUACGUG
rnacentral:rRNA from 1 species